ensembl:lncRNA
ACACUGGAGCCCAGGGUGUUUGUCACACAGAGCACAGAUUUUUUUGAUUAUGUAGAUUUCUGUUCCUACUGCAGUUUCAUAUGCAAAGCAUGCGUCCUCCACAUCCAUGCUAUCUCCUGAAGCAGUUGUUCUGAAACCCAAUCUGGGGACAGUGCAGACUAAAUAAAAUUUCAUUUUGAUUUGGCCUCCCGCUGCGAAUGGGCCUGCUUUGUCUCAGCGGACAGAAGCAGCAAGCCAGAAAGGUGUUGAAUACUAAAAUACUGACUGAAAGGAAAAUUGAAUAAGUGCUGCUCUGAUGCUCCGGAGAUUUUACUGGAAGAUUUGUCGCGCUGAAUUUUAUUGUAAAUUUGAAGAUGCAGUUAACAGCUUUGAAGGACUUUAGCUUUCAUGGCCCUUGUGAGCUGCUUUGGCAGAAAAGCAAUCGCCCAUUUUAGAGAAGGAGGGAAAAUAGAACAUAAAGACUCUUCCAUGGGACUAAAUUGUUGUGCCAUCUUGGUACAGUUUGUAUAAAAUGCAUUGUGAUGCUUACUGAACUACUGCAAAAGAUGGCUCCUUUUAAACAAUGACCUUCACUGGGAGCCAGGAGAGUCUGGCUGUGUCAAAUGCUCAUCUUACCCUCGUCCCACCUUUCGGAGAAGUAUUGGCGAUGAAGGGACAGCCUGCUGUGCUACUCUCAGAAGACGCUGUAGAUAAGGAAAUGGACCAAGACACUCCUGAACAUGACUCGCUGAGCUGAGGGGACAGUGGGAAGCAGAGACAUUAAAAGAUGGACAUCAGGCAUCCAGCAGGCACAUCUGCUAGGGCCUGAAGCAAUGCAGAAGAGGCUGAGUGUCCAGGAGGAAAGCGUGUUUUUCUGCCUCUUAAAGGAACAUGUUACAGAUUUGAUGACCACAGAGAAAAAAGUCCUGACACACGCACCUCAAUUAGAGUCCCUCGGGUGUGAUAUUUUUCAAUCACCAAUUUUUGACAAUACUGGGUUUUUACAUAGGGUAGAAUUCCGACUACAGUUUCCGUGAUUCACAAUGGUGACUAUUGGCAAACUGCUUUCUCCCCAGCAAAAUCAUUCCGCCCAGGGCUGAGGUUGCUGAUUCUGAGCCUUCGUUAUUUUCAGCUGGUGAAAGAAGGAGUUCAUGAAGUCCUGCUCCGUAGGAAAGUUUCGGAUAAUAUUCUUUCUCAAAUGAAUACGCGUUUAACAACCACAAAAGUCCUAAGUCCCUAGCCGGCUGUGAUUUUUGUCAAUACCCCCACCUUCCUCGAGUGAAAACUCCAUAGACUCAGAAGCCAAAGGACCUUUUGAAAAAAAUGCCACUUUCAGAUUUCAGCCAGAGCCACAGCUGAGCCGACAAGGCAGGGUUCUAACAAGACAGUUGCUUGCUGCCGGCUACUGUUCCUACUUUUGUUUCCUAGGGAAACGAACAGGGGCAAAUUGAAAGAGUGAUUAUCUGAAGGCUCCACUGUCUUCCUCAUCCUGAGUCCCCAGUGUUCCCACCCGGAAUGGGCGCGGAAGAGGAGGGGACACGUCAAGCCUGUCAGUCUGGGCUCUGCUCCUUGGCAGAGAGCUGAAAAUUCUGGCUUUUCAAACAAGCUGCAGAAAUCUCUGUUCUUGUACUUUUAAGACAAAAAUGGUAGUCGAACACCAACGUCACCUCACCCUGCCCUUCUGUACCUUCCUUUUGCAGUGUGGUUUUGAAGGAGGAAGAACAGCAGCACCUUUUGUGUGUACUGCUGGGGCUCCAAGUUUGUUCUGUGAAUUAACCCUUGAAUAACUGGCUCCCAGGAAAGGUGGGACACUGUAUUUGUGAAUGUGAGGAAUGGGUUUAUCCAGUGGAUAAUUUAUUCCAACCUUGGCUAUUUCUGCUGUUCCCUUUCCAAUGAACAUCUCUUUAUUUACCACCCCACUUGACAGGAAGUUGAAAAAAAAAGGGCCAGAGGUACAAGAAAUAGCACUUAUUCAGAAAACAUAAAUUACUAUUACUCUUCCUACUGCUGAAUUGGACUUAACUUAAAAAUGAGUGCUGUCUUUACAUGGAUCAAGCUGUCCCUGCCCUCUAUUGGUAACUAUUUCUCUGGGUGACUUUAAAAAAAUCACUACACUUCCAUUUUGAGAGUUCCGUAUAUUUACUGACUCAGCUUCCCCGGUGCUGCCAAGAUUUUAUUUUAAUCACAUGGUGUUAUGGUUUAAUAACAUUACAUUUUGAGACCGAAUAGAUCAUUAAGUAAGGGGAUGGUUUCUCAGGAUGCCUCCCAUUGUCAUGGAGAGGGAAUGCUGAUGAUUAUGGCUGUGAUAGCAUCUAGCAUUAUCUCAAGCUUACUACAUACCAGACACCUGACAUGUGUCUUCCCAAUUAAUUCUCCCAACAAUGUUUUGAGGCACUUACUGUUAUCCUUAUUUUGCAGAUGAGAAAACUAAAGCUGUCCUACAUAACUCCAAGAGAACUGAUUACAAAUCUGGGCCUUUCUGACUCAGAAGCCCGUGUUCAGAACCAUCGAGCUACGUCACAAUUUUACCUCCCCUUCCAUUCCCUGGCAGAGAAGAGGGUGGGGAAAGACAGAAAAUGAUGGUUCAAGUCCUGCUUGCCCUCAUAGACAGAAAGAUCGCCCAAAUUUCCACCAGCUCCCUGGAUGGCACGGUAUGGGCACUGGUCGGGAGCUGAAGGUAAUCAGGGAGAAGGAAAGCUGUUCCCAGAAAGAGCUAAGAAUAGAGAUUUGGAUUGCCUUUUUCCACCAGCCUUGGUGACAGUGACUUCCCACCCUGCUCCCUUUCUCAUCUGCAGAGGAGAGGCAGUGUGUAUGUGUGUGCAUGCUUGUGUGUGUAUGUGUGUGUAUAUGUGUGUGUGUGUGCCUAGAGUCAUUGUCCCCGCCAGCUCGGCCCUGUUGUUCCCUAAUGCCGGGUGGGCCCCAGGGCCUGGUCCUGACACAAGGGGGACAGACACGCAGGAGAUAAAGGACUACUGAGGUAGGCUGGCUUCCAGGCAUCUUGGGCAAAGAGAAAGCUAUAAUGUUUAUGCAGGGCAAAGGCUGUGCUGGACAUGUUCUGAACCUUCCAGAGACAAACUUCCUGCCUCUCUGCACACACACACACACACACACACACACACUCACAAGAACACACCACAUUUUAUGCUUGUCUUAGGGCCACAAAUGUCCUGUCAGCACAAAAUUGCCCAAAAUUCUUUGACAAAGGUAAGAAAAUACAUUUAUCUUACAAAUUGUGAUUAAUACUACAGCCAAUCAAAUACCUUAUGUAUGUAAUGUUUUUAAAAUCUGACCAAAGACACACAACUAUUUCUCAGGCUCAAGAGGCAGAGGGACAGGAAGUCAGAGGCCACUAAGAAAUUUGUCAUCUCCAGGGGAAGGUCAGAGAGAGGGUCUUACCUUCCACACCAUGACAAAUAGAUUCUCAAACAAAUCUACUAUUAGAGACUAAACUCUUCUAUUGAUUCCUGGUCAAUAACAAUAUUUUUGAGACAACUUUUUAUGUAUUUCUUGAGAGAUACAUUUUAGACUGUCAGAGCACAACUCUAAAAUCACUUCUGAAGAGUUAUUUUGUGAAUUAAAAAUGUAUAGCAUUUUCAAAGGGCAACUUUCUAAAAUCUUUAGUUCAAAAAAAUCCUAAUUAAAGGGGCCAGGGAUUUAGUUCAGUGGUGCUGCCACCUGCCUCCCAACUGCAAGGUCCCGAGUUCAAUACCCAGUACAGAAAAAACAAUCCUAAUUACCAGCUGCAGUAAUUAUAUUAUAUACAUAGAGAAGUAUAUAUGUGUCUAUGUAUGUACAUAGUUAUACAUUUAUACAGGAGUCCCAAUUUACUAAUGUCCUAAUGUUUUAAAUUCCCCAGUAGAUACCUGAAACUAUGGUUAAUACUGAAUGCUAUCUACAUUUUGUUAUUUCCUAAACACACAUGGUACAGUUUAAUUUGUAAAUUAGGUGUGGUGAGAGAUGGACAGCAAUAACUGAUAAUAAAAUAGUUACACCAAAACCAUGGUCAGCAUCACUACCUUUGUGACUUGAGGUCUUUAUUAAUUAAAAUGAGGAUUCUGUAACAUAAGCAGUGCAGUACUGCCAUAGUCAGUCUGAUAUCCAAGAGAGCUAUGAAGUGACUAACAGGUGGACAGCAUAUACCACGUGGAUGCACUGGACUAAGGAAUGACUAGAUAGUGUGAAAUUUUAUCAUGCUAAUUGGAGUGGCACAAGAUGGAAUUUCCCAGAGUAUGGUUGUCAAUGGAUAACUGAAACUACAGAAAACAAAGGUGCAAAUAAGGAGGAAGUACUGUACACCUAAGUCCUUCUUUUAAUGGAGGGUUCAUGAGAGCAUAGAGUCAAAACCCUGAGAAACCUGAGUCAGAACUCUGAGUUUGAGCCCAAGCUCUGCUGUUUACUAGCUGUCUGCACGUGGACCAAUUUCUUAACUUCCCGUGUCUUAGUUUCUUCAUCUCUAAAAUAGAGAGCAGUAGCAGACUGUGUCUCCAGCACAACAAUAAGCACAGAGUGUCUGUUAGAUGAGUGAGCUAUCUCUGGGAUGCUAAUUCUGCUCACAACCAUCUAACAAAGCCAGCCCUCCAAUCCCUGUCUGAUAGAAACUGUGUUCUAAUUCCUCCUUGCAAAACUGUGUUUCGGUGACACAGUCAACGUGGAGUGGAUUCGAAUCUUUCCAGACCAUGUUCCUCACACUAAAAUUCACCACCACCUCUGCUUAACUGGGACUUGUCCAUGAAUAUUCUUUCAUUACCUUCUGUUUUUAAAGUUACAUUAUUUUAUUUGAAGACAGUCUUCACAUUUUAUGGAUCUUAAUGUUUCAAUGACUAUGACGUGUUUAAAGUUGAC